rnacentral:rRNA from 1 species
AGAGUUUGAUCAUGGCUCAGGAUGAGCGCUGGCGGCGCUGCCUAACACAUGCAAGUCGAGCGAUUUACUUCGGUAAAGAGCGGCGGACGGGUGAGUAACGCGUGGGUAACCUGCCCUGUACACACGGAUAACAUACCGAAAGGUAUGCUAAUACGGGAUAACAUAUUUUGAUGGCAUCAUCGAAAUAUCAAAGCUCCGGCGGUACAGGAUGGACCCGCGUCUGAUUAGCUAGUUGGUGAGGUAAUGGCUCACCAAGGCGACGAUCAGUAGCCGACCUGAGAGGGUGAUCGGCCACAUUGGAACUGAGACACGGUCCAAACUCCUACGGGAGGCAGCAGUGGGGAAUAUUGCACAAUGGGCGAAAGCCUGAUGCAGCAACGCCGCGUGAGCGAUGAAGGCCUUCGGGUCGUAAAGCUCUGUCCUCAAGGAAGAUAAUGACGGUACUUGAGGAGGAAGCCCCGGCUAACUACGUGCCAGCAGCCGCGGUAAUACGUAGGGGGCUAGCGUUAUCCGGAAUUACUGGGCGUAAAGGGUGCGUAGGUGGUUUUUUAAGUCAGAAGUGAAAGGCUACGGCUCAACCGUAGUAAGCUUUUGAAACUGAGAAACUUGAGUGCAGGAGAGGAGAGUAGAAUUCCUAGUGUAGCGGUGAAAUGCGUAGAUAUUAGGAGGAAUACCAGUUGCGAAGGCGGCUCUCUGGACUGUAACUGACACUGAGGCACGAAAGCGUGGGGAGCAAACAGGAUUAGAUACCCUGGUAGUCCACGCCGUAAACGAUGAGUACUAGGUGUCGGGGGUUACCCCCCUCGGUGCCGCAGCUAACGCAUUAAGUACUCCGCCUGGGAAGUACCCUCGCAAGAGUGAACUCAAGGAAUUGACGG